UACGGAGGGGGCUAGCGUUGUUCGGAAUUACUGGGCGUAAAGCGCGCGUAGGCGGCUUUGUACGUCAGAGGUGAAAUCCCAGUGCUCAACACUGGAAUUGCCAUUGAUACUGAUGACCUUGAGUACAUUUGAAGUGGGCGGAAUGUGUCAUGUAGCGGUGAAAUGCUUAGAUAUGACACAGAACACCGAUUGCGUAGGCAGCUCACUAAACUGUAACUGACGCUGAGGCACGAAAGCGUGGGGAGCAAACAGG
rnacentral:rRNA from 1 species